ACGCGCUCCAGCACAGCGGUUCCAAAUAAACCAUCAACGCACCUGAAGCUGAUGACACAGCCAACUAUUUAGACCAGCACAACCUGCGUUCCAAUGCCAGAACGUAGCCGUCUAAUACCCUCCAUUGCCUUUGAAGUAAGCUGUGUCUCACUUCCCUGGACCCCCUCCGGAUUCUCGGAUUCUCGAUGUGGAGAUACAUGGUUUUCCUUGGACAGUUCCAGCAAAGAGUCCUGACUGACUUGCCAGGAUGACCAUGUCCAUCCCCCAGAAGAUGCUCAUGAUCCAGCCCACCAUGAAGACGGCCGUCAGGAUCUGGAUGAGGGCCGCCGCCAGGUUGAGCCAGAAGACGCAGCACACGCCUCGCUCGGGGACCAGCUCACUGCGAGCGCCGCACAGCACCGAAAAGGCCGAG